CGGGACACGACAGNGUGAACUCAAGGAAUGACGGGGCCCGCGACAGACGGUGGAGGUAUGUGGUUUAAUUCGAUGCAACGCGAAGAACCUUACCAGGUCUUGACAUCCGUUUGACCACCUGAGAGAUCAGGCUUCCCCUUCGGGGGUACAAAGUGACAGGUAGGUGCAUGGUUGUCGUCAGCUCGUGUCGUGAGAUGUUGGGUUAAGUCCCGCAACGAGCGCAACCCUUGAUCUUAGUUGCCAGCAUUUAGUUGGGCACUCUAAGGUGACUGCCGGUGAUAAACCGGAGGAAGGUGGGGAUGACGUCAAAUCAUCAUGCCCCUUAUGACCUGGGCUACACACGUGCUACAAUGGAUGGUACAAAGGGCAGCAAAACCGCGAGGUCGAGCGAAUCCCAUAAAGCCAUUCUCAGUUCGGAUUGCAGGCUGCAACUCGCCUGCAUGAAGCCGGAAUUGCUAGUAAUCGUGGAUCAGCAUGCCACGGUGAAUACGUUCCCGGGCCUUGUACACACGUCGACGCGGCCG
rnacentral:rRNA from 1 species